rnacentral:lncRNA from 1 species
AUGGCAACGUCCUCCAGGUGGACGCUGAUCCAAGAGACUGAGGAGUCGCCAUCCAGGCGGCAGGAGGCGUCGAGGGCGAGGCCACCAGUCCGGCAGCAGAGACAGAGACGAGGCAGGGACCAGAGACGAAGACAGACGUGGGGACGAGGCAGGAACCAGAGGCGAAGACAGACGUGGGGACGAGGCAGGAACCAGAGGCGAAGACAGACGUGGGGACGAGGCAGGAACCAGAGGCGAAGACAGACGUGGAGACGUCCUCCUUGGACCUCCGCGACGAGAAACAGGGGCCAGCGGCGUCCUCCUUGGACCACCGCGACGAGACACAGGUACAGAUGCGGCCGGAGCCGGACCGCCAGGAACCGAUGCAGGUACGGCCGAACCGCCAGGAACCGAUGCAGGUACGGCCAGGACUGCGACGGGCGCGACCCCCUCCUGGAGGUCCGCCGGGACUGCGACGGGCGCGACCCCCUCCUGGAGGUCCGCCGGGACUGCGACGGGCGCGACCCCCUCCUGGAGGUCCGCCGGGACGGCGACGGGCGCGACCCCCUCCCGGAGGUCCGCCGGGACUGCGACGGGCGCGACCCCCUCCCGGAGGUCCGCCGGGACGGCGACGGGCGCGACCCCCUCCCGGAGGUCCGCCGGGACUGCGACGGGCGCGACCCCCUCCCGGAGGUCCGCCGGGACUGCGACGGGCGCGACCCCCUCCCGGAGGUCCGCCGGGACUGCGACGGGCGCGACCCCCUCCGGAGGUACCGCCGGGACGGCGACGGGCGCGACCCCCUCCCGGAGGUCCGCCGGGACUGCGACGGGCGCGACCCCCUCCCGGAGGUCCGCCGGGACUGCGACGGGCGCGACCCCCUCCCGGAGGUCCGCCGGGUCUGCGACGGGCGCGACCCCCUCCCGGAGGUCCGCCGGGACUGCGGCUGGCGCGACCCCCUCCUGGAGGUCCGCCGGAACUGCGGCUGGCGCGACCCCCUCCUGGAGGUCCGCCGGGACUGCGGCUGGCGCGACCUCCUCCUGGAGUCCCAUACAUCCACCCACCCCAGCCGGGGCCCUCUCCGAGCCCUCUCCCCGCCCUCACGCCAUGCUUUCCGUCCGGGGUAA